rnacentral:snRNA from 1 species
AUCGCUUCUCGGCCUUUUGGCUAAGAUCAAGUGUAGCAUUUGUUGCUGGUUUCUAUUAAUAUCUUAUGAAGUCCGGACUUUGCCCCUUGGUGCCUUAUCCAAGAGUAGAUAGACAUCUUCUCCUGUAUCUUUUGUUCUAGAGGA